UACGGAGGGGGCGAGCGUUAUUCGGAAUUAUUGGGCGUAAAGGGCGCGUAGGCGGCCCGGUAAGUCAAAGGUGAAAUCCCUCGGCUCAACUGAGGAACUGCCUUUGAAACUGUCGGGCUUGAGGCCGGGAGGGGGUGGCGGAAUUCCCAGUGUAGCGGUGAAAUGCGUAGAUAUUGGGAGGAACACCAGUGGCGAAGGCGGCCACCUGGACCGGUUCUGACGCUGAUGCGCGAAAGCGUGGGUAGCAAACAGG
rnacentral:rRNA from 1 species